rnacentral:lncRNA from 1 species
GCCGAACUCAGGACCCCGCCCUCACACGUGUACAUGCUAACACAGAUCCAAACUGUUGGAGCAGUUUAGAUUAGGAAGGUAGAUAGAAAAAAGAAGUAUGAAAGCCUUCAACCCAAAAUAUAUCAGAUGAAGAAAGAAGUUAAAUCAGCCUGAACAGUGGGGAGGAUGUCAAACGCUGGAGUUACCUGUAGCCUGGAAGGUUCUGCUAUUGAGCAGACCCCCUCUGCCAGAUGUUUCCGGAGACAGGUCGAAGCCAGUGGGUUGCUCCAUGUAGAAAAAGCCCACUUGAAGCCAUCCAUUAAGCAGACAAAACUCUUCGUCCUCAGCUUUCAUCACUGAACUCCUUCACCUUUCAGCAGAUUCCCAGGAUAGAGAGCAUGCCUCUGCUCCUCACUGCCUCAUCAGAAAGAGAGAGAGAGAGAGGGUGGUGGCUGGCACUCGCCCCAGGGAGUGAUCAGCAGGCUGUUUCUAGGUCAGUACUGAUGGGGUGCAGGGAGCAGUGAAGGCCUCUCUCUCUCUCUCUUUACCCUGUU